rnacentral:rRNA from 1 species
CAAGUCGAACGCGAAAGCCUCCUUCGGGGGGCAAGUAGAGUGGCGCACGGGUGAGUAACACGUAGGUAAUCUACCUUUGGAUUGGGAAUAACAACCGGAAACGGUUGCUAAUACCGAAUAAUGCAGCGGCACCUAAUGGUGACAGUUGUUAAAGCGGGGGAUCGCAAGACCUCGCGUCUGAAGAGGAGCCUGCGGCAGAUUAGCUAGUUGGUAAGGUAACGGCUUACCAAGGCGAUGAUCUGUAGCCGGCCUGAGAGGGCGGUCGGCCACACUGACACUGACAUACGGGUCAGACUCCUACGGGAGGCAGCAGUCGGGAAUUUUGGGCAAUGGGCGAAAGCCUGACCCAGCAACGCCGCGUGAAGGAUGAAAUCCUUCGGGAUGUAAACUUCGCAAGAACGGGAAGAAUAAGUAAGAGUUAAUAUCUCUUACGAUGACGGUACUGUUUGUAAGCUCCGGCUAACUCCGUGCCAGCAGCCGCGGUAAUACGGGGGGAGCAAGCGUUGUUCGGAUUUACUGGGCGUAAAGGGCGCGUAGGCGGCCACCGCAAGUCGACUGUGAAAUCUCCGGGCUUAACCCGGAAAGGUCAGCCGAUACUGCGGGGCUAGAGUGCAGAAGGGGCAACUGGAAUUCUCGGUGUAGCGGUGAAAUGCGUAGAUAUCGAGAGGAACACCUGCGGCGAAGGCGGGUUGCUGGGCUGACACUGACGCUGAUGCGCGAAAGCUAGGGGAGCGAACGGGAUUAGAUACCCCGGUAGUCCUAGCCUUAAACGAUGAAUGCUUGGUGUCUGGGGUUUUAUAGUCCCCGGGUGCCGUCGCUAACGCUUUAAGCAUUCCGCC